rnacentral:rRNA from 1 species
AGUGACCGAUAGCGCAUAGUACUGUGAAGGAAAGGUGAAAAGGACCCCGGGAGGGGAGUGAAAGAGAACCUGAAACCCUGUGUUUACAAGCUGUGGAAGUAUCAUCAGGAUACAACCGCGUACUUUUUGUAGAACGGUCCGGCGAGUUACGUUUACUGGCGAGGUUAAGCACUUAAGGUGCGGAGCCGAAGGGAUACCAAGUCUUAACAGGGCGUUAAGUCAGUGUACGUAGACCCGAAACCGGGUGAUCUACCCAUGUCCAGGUUGAAGUUGCCGUAAAAGGCAAUGGAGGACCGAACGCACAUCCGUUGAAAAGGGUGGCGAUGAGGUGUGGGUAGGGGAGAAAUUCCAAUCGAACCCGGAGAUAGCUGGUUCUCCUCGAAAUAGCUUUAGGGCUAGCCUCGUAUUAGUCUUGCGGAGGUAGAGCACUGAAUAUCCUAGGGGGCGUCAAAGCUUACCGAAGAUUAUCAAACUCCGAAUGCCGCGUAGAUGAUGUACGGGAGUCAGACUGCACGAGAUAAGUUGGGUAGUCAAAAGGGAAAGAGCCCAGACCUACAGCUAAGGUCCCAAAGUGCGUGUUAAGUGGAAAAGGAUGUGGGAUUUCGAAGACAACUAGGAUGUUGGCUCAGAAGCAGCCAUACAUUCAAAGAGUGCGUAAUAGCUCACUAGUCGAGAGGUCCUGCGCCGAAAAUGUCCGGGGCUAAAACACGACACCGAAGCUGUGGAUCCGAAAGGAUGGUAGAGGAGCAUUCUUAAGUCGACGAAGCUGUACUGUAAGGAGCAGUGGAGAGUUAAGAAGAGAGAAUGCCGGAAUGAGUAGCGAGAUUUAAGUGAGAAUCUUAAAGGCCGAAUAUCUAAGGUUUCCAGGGUAAAGCUGAUCUUCCCUGGGUAAGUCGGGGCCUAAGGCGAGGGCGAGAGCCGUAGUCGAUGGAUAACAGGUUGAAAUUCCUGUACUGCUUAUGGACAGAACUGUGGGGACGCAGAAGGAGAGCACGAGCCGGAAAUGGAAAAGCCGGUACAAGCGUAUAGCAGUCAUGCAGGCAAAACCGCAUGAAAAAUGUAAAGCGUUAUGUGGAUCGAACAUUAGUAGAGAAGCGUGUGAGCCAGCUGCCAAGAAAAGCCGCUAUUGUUUCAUAAGUACCCGUACCGUAAACCGACACAGGUGGAUGAGGAGAGAAUCCUAAGGCCGACGGAAGAAGCAUUGUUAAGGAACUCGGCAAAAUGACCCCGUAACUUCGGGAGAAGGGGUGCCCACGCAAGUGAGCCGCAGAGAACUGGCCCAAGCAACUGUUUAGCAAAAACACAGGUCUAUGCAAAACCGAAAGGUGAGGUAUAUGGGCUGACGCCUGCCCGGUGCUGGAAGGUUAAGAGGAGAGGUUAGCGCAAGCGAAGCUUUGAAUUUAAGCCCCAGUAAACGGCGGCCGUAACUAUAACGGUCCUAAGGUAGCGAAAUUCCUUGUCGGGUAAGUUCCGACCCGCACGAAAGGCGUAAUGAUUUGGGCACUGUCUCGACAAUGCACCCGGUGAAAUUGAAAUACCAGUGAAGAUGCUGGUUACCUGCGCCAGGACGGAAAGACCCCAUGGAGCUUUACUCCAGCUUGAUACUGGGAUUCGGUAUUGCAUGUACAGGAUAGGUGGGAGGCUAGGAAAUGGUAACGCCAGUUGCCAUGGAGCCAUUGUUGGGAUACCACCCUUGCAGUACUGGGUUUCUAACCAGCAGCCGUGAUCCGGCUGGGGGACAAUGUCAGGUGGGGAGUUUGACUGGGGCGGUCGCCUCCGAAAGGGUAUCGGAGGCGCUCAAAGGUUCCCUCAGAAUGGUUGGAAACCAUUCGAAGAGUGCAAAGGCAGAAGGGAGCUUGACUGCGACACCGACGGGUGGAGCAGGUACGAAAGUAGGACUUAGUGAUCCGGUGGUAUAAAGUGGGAUUGCCAUCGCUCAACGGAUAAAAGCUACCCUGGGGAUAACAGGCUUAUCACUCCCAAGAGUUCACAUCGACGGAGUGGUUUGGCACCUCGAUGUCGGCUCAUCGCAUCCUGGGGCUGUAGUAGGUCCCAAGGGUUGGGCUGUUCGCCCAUUAAAGCGGUACGCGAGCUGGGUUCAGAACGUCGUGAGACAGUUCGGUCCCUAU